CCUACGGGAGGCAGCAGUGAGGAAUAUUGGUCAAUGGACGAGAGUCUGAACCAGCCAAGUAGCGUGAAGGAUGACUGCCCUAUGGGUUGUAAACUUCUUUUAUAUGGGAAUAAAGUGUUCCACGUGUGGGAUUUUGUAUGUACCAUAUGAAUAAGGAUCGGCUAACUCCGUGCCAGCAGCCGCGGUAAUACGGAGGGUGCAAGCGUUGUCCGGAAUCAUUGGGCUUAAAGGGUGCGUAGACGGCAUGUAAAGUCAGGUGUGAAAGGGGGAGGCUCAACCGGUGUAUGGCAAUUGAUACUUGCAAGCUUGAAUGCGGUAGAGGUAAAGGGAAUUCGUGGUGUAGCGGUGAAAUGCUUAGAUAUCAGGAGGAACAUCGGUGGCGAAAGCGCUUUACUGGGCCGUAAUUGACGCUGAGGAACGAAAGCCAGGGUAGCAAAUGGGAUUAGAUACCCCAGUAGUC
rnacentral:rRNA from 1 species